rnacentral:lncRNA from 1 species
UUUGAGUCUUCUUUUGUGAUUUUAAAAGUAAUCUUGCAAGUAACAACAACUAAGUGAGUAGCCUAGAACAAUUUUGGCAAGGNCAAGGCUUGGUACUUAAGCAAUCCUAGUGAUUCACCUCCCUUACCUGGAAAUUGUUCUUGGGUGAAAUCUAAGUAGUUGUAACACAAGAAAACUUUUAGAAACAAAAAUGUCUUUUUAUUCAUCUAGGUUGUCUAGUUCAUACAUUAAGGAUGAUUUGUGUACUAAAGCUAGAAAAAUUCCUUCUUUGGUAAAGAUACAAAUGUUUUAACAUACCUAGUUUGGGAAAAAGAAAUUAAUCAAAUGCAUCCUGAUCUUCUUAAGCAAAGUGAAAUUGAGUCUUAUAGUACAAUUGUUCUUUCUAGAGAGUGUGAAUCUCGUGUUCUUAGUUUAUAUCUCUCUAGAUUAGAAAAGCAUUCACU